GACGAACCGUGCAAACGUUGUUCGGAAUCACUGGGCUUAAAGGGCGCGUAGGCGGGCAAGCAAGUCGAAGGUGAAAUCCCACGGCUCAACCGUGGAAGUGCCCCCGAUACUGCUUGUCUUGAGGGAGAUAGGGGCGUGCGGAACUUCCGGUGGAGCGGUGAAAUGCGUAGAUAUCGGAAGGAACACCGGUGGCGAAGGCAGCUCUCUGGGACGGUACUGACGCUGAGACGCGAAAGCGUGGGGAGCGAACAGG
rnacentral:rRNA from 1 species